rnacentral:rRNA from 1 species
AAACGACUCUCGGCAACGGAUAUCUCGGCUCUCGCAUCGAUGAAGAACGUAGCGAAAUGCGAUACUUGGUGUGAAUUGCAGAAUCCCGUGAACCAUCGAGUCUUUGAACGCAAGUUGCGCCCGAAGCCGUCAGGCCGAGGGCACGUCUGCCUGGGCGUCACGCACGCCGUCGCCACCCCGCGCCCGC